rnacentral:lncRNA from 1 species
GUCGAGCCUCUCGAUCUGUCAUUAUACCUCGAGAAGUAGAAAGAAUUACAAUCCCUAUUCCACCUAAAAUUCGCGGAAUUCGUUGAUAAUUAGAAUAGAUUCGUAGACCAGGUCGACUGAUUCGUUUUAAAUUGAAAAUAUUUCUAUAGGGUCUUUUCCUAUUCCUUCUAUGUCGCAGGGUUAAAACCAAAAAAUAUUUGUUGUUUUCUCGANCUUAUUCCACCUAAAAUUCAUGGAAUUCGUUGAUAAUUAGAAUAGAUUCGUAGACCAGGUCGACUAAUUCGUUUUAAAUUGAAAAUAUUUCUAUAGGGUCUUUUUCUAUUCCUUCUAUGUCGCAAGGUUAAAACCAAAAAAUAUUUGUUGUUUUCUCGAUGUUUUCUCACGUUUUCGAU